rnacentral:misc_RNA from 1 species
GUGAAGAACGCAGCGAAAUGCGAUAAGUAAUGUGAAUUGCAGAAUUCAGUGAAUCAUCGAAUCUUUGAACGCACAUUGCGCCCGCCAGUAUUCUGGCGGGCAUGCCUGUUCGAGCGUCAUUUCAACCAUCAAGCCCCAGGCUUGUGUUGGGGACCUGCGGCUGCCGCAGGCCCUGAAAACCAGUGGCGGGCUCGCUGUCACACCGGGCGUAGUAGAUUUUAUCUCGCUCAGGGCGUGCUGCGGGUUCCGGCCGUUAAAAAGCCUUUUUUACCCAAGGUUGACCUCGGAUCAGGUAGGAAUACCCGCUGAACUUAAGCAUAUCAAUAAGCGGAGGA